rnacentral:rRNA from 1 species
AUUCCAGCUCCAAUAGCGUAUAUUUAAGUUGUUGCAGUUAAAAAGCUCGUAGUUGGAUUUCGGAUGGGUGACACCGGUCCGCCGUUUCGGUGUGCACUGGUGGCGCGCGUCUUGCUGUCGGGGACGCGCUUCUGGCCUUAAUUGGCUGGGACGCGGAGUCGGCGAUGUUACUUUGAAAAAAUUAGAGUGUUCAAAGCAGGCCUAAGCUCUGAAUACAUUAGCAUGGAAUAACGCUAUAGGACUCUGGUCUUAUUGCGUUGGUCUUCGAGACCGGAGUAAUGAUUAAGAGGGACAGUUGGGGGCAUUCGUAUUUCAUUGUCAGAGGUGAAAUUCUUGGAUUUAUGAAAGACGAACUUCUGCGAAAGCAUUUGCCAAGGAUGUUUUCAUUA